rnacentral:rRNA from 1 species
GGGAUUGCCCUAGUAACGGCGAGUGAAGCGGCAACAGCUCAAAUUUGAAAUCUGGCGCUUUCAGCGUCCGAGUUGUAAUUUGUAGAGGAUGCUUCUGGGUAGCCACCGGUCUAAGUUCCUUGGAACAGGACGUCAUAGAGGGUGAGAAUCCCGUAUGCGACCGGCCGGCACCCUCCACGUAGCUCCUUCGACGAGUCGAGUUGUUUGGGAAUGCAGCUCUAAAUGGGAGGUAAAUUUCUUCUAAAGCUAAAUAUUGGCCAGAGACCGAUAGCGCACAAGUAGAGUGAUCGAAAGAUGAAAAGCACUUUGGAAAGAGAGUUAAAAAGCACGUGAAAUUGUUGAAAGGGAAGCGCUUGCAACCAGACUUGUCUGCGGUGUUCCGCCGGUCUUCUGACCGGUCUACUCAUCGUAUGCAGGCCAGCAUCAUUUGGGACCGCUGGAUAAAACCUUAGGAAUGUGGCUCCUCGGAGUGUUAUAGCCUGAGUUAAUGCAGUGAGUCCCGAGUGAGGUCCGCGCUUCGGCUAGGAUGCUGGCGUAAUGGUUGUAAGCGGCCCGUCUUGAAACACGGACCAAGGAGUCUAACAUCUAUGCGAGUGUUCGGGUGUCAAACCCCUACGCGUAAUGAAAGUGAACGGAGGUGGGAACCGCAAGGUGCACCAUCGACCGAUCCUGAUGUCUUCGGAUGGAUUUGAGUAAGAGCAUAGCUGUUGGGACCCGAAAGAU